rnacentral:rRNA from 1 species
GACGAACGCUGGCGGCGUGCUUAACACAUGCAAGUCGAGCGGUAAGGCCCUUUCGGGGGUACACGAGCGGCGAACGGGUGAGUAACACGUGGGUGACCUGCCCUCAGCUCUGGGGUAAGCCCGGGAAACUGGGUCUAAUACCGGAUAUGACUCCAUGACGCAUGUUGUGGGGUGGAAAGCCUUGUGCGGCUGAGGAUGGGCCCGCGGCCUAUCAGCUUGUUGGUGGGGUGAUGGCCUACCAAGGCGACGACGGGUAGCCGGCCUGAGAGGGCGACCGGCCACACUGGGACUGAGAUACGGCCCCGACUCCUACGGGAGGCAGCAGCUAGGAAUCUUGGGAAUGGGCGAAAGCCUGACCCAGCAACGCCGCGUGGGCGAUGAAGGCC